AGAGUUUGAUCCUGGCUCAGGAUGAACGCUAGCGGGAGGCUUAACACAUGCAAGUCGAGGGGUAAAGAGUAGUAAUACUUUGAGACCGGCGGACGGGUGCGUAACGCGUAUGCAACAUACCUUGUGCAGGGGGAUAGCCCGUGGAAACGCGGAUUAAUAUUCCAUAGAUCAGUAAUAUCGCAUGGUAUAACUGGUAAAGUUGAGGCGGCACAAGAUUGGCAUGCGUCUGAUUAGCUAGUUGGUAGGGUAACGGCCUACCAAGGCGACGAUCAGUAGGGGUUCUGAGAGGAUUAACCCCCACACUGGUACUGAGACACGGACCAGACUCCUACGGGAGGCAGCAGUGAGGAAUAUUGGUCAAUGGGCGGAAGCCUGAACCAGCCAUCCCGCGUGAAGGAAGAAGGCCCUACGGGUUGUAAACUUCUUUUCUGUCAGAAGAAUAAGCUCGUCGUGACGAGUGAUGCCGGUAUGACAGGAAUAAGCAUCGGCUAACUCCGUGCCAGCAGCCGCGGUAAUACGGAGGAUGCAAGCGUUAUCCGGAUUUAUUGGGUUUAAAGGGUGCGCAGGUGGUUAAAUAAGUCAGUGGUGAAAGUCUGUCGCUUAACGGUAGGAUUGCCAUUGAUACUGUUUAACUUGAAUAUGGAUGAGGUAGGCGGAAUGUGUAGUGUAGCGGUGAAAUGCAUAGAUAUUACACAGAACACCGAUUGCGAAGGCAGCUUACUAAUCCAUUAUUGACGCUGAGGCACGAAAGCGUGGGGUUCAAACAGGAUUAGAUACCCUGGUAGUCCACGCCGUAAACGAUGAUCACUCGCUGUUUGCGAUAUACAGUAAGCGGCUAAGCGAAAGCGUUAAGUGAUCCACCUGGGGAGUACGAUCGCAAGGUUGAAACUCAAAGGAAUUGACGG
rnacentral:rRNA from 1 species